rnacentral:rRNA from 1 species
CUUCGGGUUGUAAAGCUCUUUCGGCAGGAACGAAACGGUGGGCUCUAACAUAGUCCGCUAAUGACGGUACCUGAAGAAGAAGCACCGGCUAACUACGUGCCCNCAGCCGCGGUAAUACGUAGGGUGCGAGCGUUAAUCGGAAUUACUGGGCGUAAAGCGUGCGCAGGCGGUUGUGUAAGACAGGUGUGAAAUCCCCGGGCUUAACCUGGGAACUGCGCUUGUGACUGCACGGCUAGAGUAUGGCAGAGGGGGGUGGAAUUCCACGUGUAGCAGUGAAAUGCGUAGAGAUGUGGAGGAACCCCGAUGGCCAAGGNAACCCCCUGGGCCAGUACCUGACGCUCAUGCACAAAAGC